rfam:Canis lupus familiaris chromosome 1, whole genome shotgun sequence.
GUGCUUGGUUUGGCAGCACAUAUACUAAAAUUGGAACGAUACAGAGAAGAUUAGCACGGCCCCUGCACAAGGAUGACACGCAAAAAUGUUUUAACAUAAAAACAAAA